AUUUAUAUAGUUUAAGAAAAAACAUUCCAUUUUCAGUGGAAAAAAAAGAUUAGUCUUUAUAAA
rnacentral:tRNA from 1 species